GCCGCCUUAGCUCAGUCGGUCAGAGCGACGCACUCGUAAUGCGUAGGUCACCGGUUCGAAUCCGGUAGGCGGCU
rnacentral:tRNA from 1 species